rnacentral:rRNA from 1 species
CAUUAUUGAAUAAACUUGAACAAGCUGUUUUUGCUGGCUUCUUUUUAGAGGCAGGUGCACGCUUGUCAUUUUUAUGUUUCCAACUGUGCACCUAUUGUAGAUUCUGGAAGCUUAAUUAUUUUCUAUAAACUGAGGAUUGCUGAGCUUUGCAAUAAAAGGUCAGCUUACCUUGAACUUCCAGAUCUAUGUUUUUCUUUAUAAACCUUUUAAUAUGUUUAGAAUGUUGAUAAUAAUAAUUUAUACAACUUUCAGCAACGGAUCUCUUGGCUCUCGCAUCGAUGAAGAACGCAGCGAAAUGCGAUAAGUAAUGUGAAUUGCAGAAUUCAGUGAAUCAUCGAAUCUUUGAACGCAUCUUGCGCUUCUUGGUAUUCCAAGGAGCAUGCCUGUUUGAGUGUCAUUAAAUUCUCAACCACAUUUUUUUUUAAAGUGUGGCUUGGUUAUUGGAAGCCUGCAGGUCUCUUUUUUUAUAAAGGUCUGCUCUUCUCAAAUGCAUUAGUGGUAUCUGAGCAGAAGCUACUACAGAUGUUGAUAAUUUUAUUUACAUCUCUAAAAGUGCUGCAAAAUCAGAUUAUACUGCUUCUAACUUUAUUUUUAUGAUAUAUUUGACCUCAAAUCAGGUAAGACUACCCGCUGAACUUAAGCAUAUCAAUAAGCGGAGGAAAAGAAACUAACAAGGAUUCCCUUAGUAACUGCGAGUGAAGUGGGAAAAGCUCAAAUUUGAAAUCUGGCAGUUUUUAACUGUCUGAGUUGUAAUCUAGAGAAGUGUUACCUG